rnacentral:lncRNA from 1 species
UUCCACGUUCUCUUCCAUCACAGGCCAUGAACUCAUUAAGGGAGCUCUUCUCAAAUGAAGCAGUUUCUACCAGGAGUAACGUUCAGUUUCCCCAUGGGCAUUUUUGUCUAAGAAUAUAGCCCUUAGACUAGAAUGGUCUUAAGGGUUAAGAGCAGAAGCUAUAUCUUUUACCCCCUUGUCCUGAGACUUUUCAAAGUACUUAGAUCAUUACAGGCUCUAGAGGAGGGUGAAAUGAAUGAACAAAUGAAUAAGAAAACAAAGAGAGACUGCAUAUGAAGAAAAGUACCAGAGGAUAAUCAAGAUACAAGUAAUGUACACUGACUGAAAAUAAGAACUUCACAGAAAAGAGAGAAUACUAAGUAACAGCAAAUGUAGAAAAUUAUAAAAUAAUGCAUUUAGAUUAAAUGAAAAUGUUAAUUUGAUUCAAGCAUUCCCUAUCCCACUCCCAAUUACAUGGACCUUUCAUGAGGAAGAGGUUCAAAAUUGAGAAAUUGCUCUACAAGUACACAAAGUACAAAAAAAAAAAAAAAUUAAAGCAGUCAUAAAUGGAAACAAAGAGAUCUUGUGAAGAUAUAAGAAAUCACAAGAAUCCUCCACUACAUAACCAGAAGCAGGGUAUGGAGUCGUCAGUCCUAGAAGCCCACAAGAGAUAUGCUUGCUAAGGACUGUUCUCUAUUAGCUCAUUAAAAGGCUGAAGUUUAACUCAGAAACCUCUUGGUGUGCCUCUGGGGCCAGUGAUUCCAUAAGAGGCAGAAAUAAGGGAUUUGAGACCAUCUGAAAUCCUACUUUAUAAUUCUGUCCUCACAGAAGAGCCCCCCCAAAUGCCCUCUCCUGCUCAGCCCACUGCUGCCCCCACAGUGAGUCACUCUCCAAUUCCCCAUAACAGAGCAUUCUGGGACAGCAAAUGCUUUGGCUGAAAUGUGAUAGGCACAGGUGGCACCACCAGCUGCAAGUAAUUUAGCUCUUACUGGCACUGCUACCUCUCUUGGACUUUACAUACUCUGUGUCAACAGAGAGAAGCAUGAGGGAACAGGAGCCAACAAGAGAAGACAGUAAGAGAGAGCUGAGGGUGACGUGGCAGAGAGGGAAUGAUAUUCUUGAGGAACAGGUUAAUUGAGGUUGUC